GCAGUACCACCGCGGCGCGCAUGCACAGCUGUCAGCACCAAGGACAGCAGCCGCUCAGCCCGGAGCCAGCAACCGCAUCGGGGUGAUCAGUGCGCACGGAGCAGCGGCAGUAAGCAGCGAUACCCAGCCCGGAGAGGAAGCCGUCUGGAGGCUUGGACAAUGGUUUAACUCUGCUGCAAAAACCCGUUAGGAGGUUUGAGCAAUUCUUCAGAGGAGACAAAAAAAAGGGAUGGACAAUGCGGUUUGGAUGUCCCUGUUUGACAGCCUGCUCCUAGAUAUGAGCAUGAACAUUCCUCCGCAUUGCACAUAAAUCCACCUCUUUUUUUUUUGGCCUCCCUCCCUGCCCGGCUCACACCGCCCACCUGGAUCUGGUCUGCAGUGACUGGCUGCGCCGUGCUGCCGCCCAGAAGCUGUUGGAGCCGACCCGCCACCGGGGAGAAAAGCGACCGGGCUGUGCUGUGCUGUUUGGUGGUCCACACGAUGCGUCUGUUUCUGAUGGCGGUGCUCUUCUCGUGCUCCUGCGCGCGGGCCGGCUGCGAGCCGAAGAUCGUGAACAUCGGGGCAGUGCUGAGCCAGAAGAGAUACGAGCAGGUCUUUAAAGAUGCCGUGACCCAGGCCAACCAGGUCUACGGCAGGGAUAAAUUCAAGCUGACCGCAAUCUCCGUAACGCACAAACAGAACGCCAUCCAGAUGGCUCUGUCCGUCUGCGAGGACCUCAUCUCCAGUCAGGUCUAUGCUAUCCUGGUGAGUCACCCUCCCCAGUCCAAUGACCACCUGACUCCGACGCCUGUCUCAUACACUGCAGGCUUCUACCGCAUCCCUGUGGUGGGCCUCACCACCCGCAUGUCCAUCUACUCAGACAAGAGUAUCCACCUGUCCUUUCUGCGGACAGUCCCUCCCUAUUCCCACCAGGCGCACGUGUGGUUCGACCUGAUGCGGGAGUUCAACUGGAACCACAUCAUCUUGAUAGUGAGUGACGACCACGAGGGGCGAGCCGCUCAAAAGAGGCUCGAGACCCUCUUGGAGGAGAGAGAAACAAAGAAUAAAAAAAGGAACUAUGAAAACCUCGACCAACUGUCCUAUGACAACAAGCGAGGACCUAAGGCAGAGAAAGUCCUCCAGUUCAGCCAGGAGACUAACUUAACUGCCCUGCUGCUGGAGGCCAAAGAGCUGGAGGCCCGAGUCAUCAUCCUGUCCGCCAGUGAGGAAGACGCUGCUGCAGUGUACAAGGCUGCCCGCUUCCUCAACAUGACGGGCUCGGGGUACGUGUGGCUGGUGGGCGAGCGGGAGAUGUCGGGUAAAGCCCUGAACGAGGCUCCAGACGGUCUGAUCAGCCUCCAGCUUAUCAACGGGAAGAAUGAGUCAGCCCAUAUCAAUGAUGCGGUGGCUGUGGUGGCGCAGUCCAUCCAGGAGCUCUUUGAGAAGGAGAAUAUCACAGAGCCUCCGAGAGGAUGUGUGGGCAACACCAACAUCUGGAAAACGGGGCCACUCUUUAAACGGGUGCUGAUGUCAUCUAAAUACCCAGAGGGCCUCACGGGACGGGUGGAGUUCAAUGACGACGGAGACAGGAAGUACGCCCAUUACAGUAUACUCAACUACCAGAAAGGUCGACUCAUUCAAGUCGGCGUGUACAAUGGGACACAGGUGGUGAUGAACAAUCAGCGGAAGAUCAUCUGGCCCGGAGGAGAGACUGAGAAACCACAGGGCUUCCAGAUGUCCACUCGAUUAAAGAUAGUGACGAUACACCAGGAGCCAUUUGUGUAUGUGAAACCCACUCAACCGGAUGGAACAUGCAAGGAGGAAAUCACAUUAAAUGGAGUCUUAAUUAAAAAGGUUAUCUGCACUGGGCCCAAUGAGACCAUCCCAGGUAACCUAUCAGGACGCCCAAUUGUGCCCCAGUGUUGUUAUGGAUUCUGUAUCGAUCUCCUCAUCAAGUUGGCCAUGACCAUGAACUUCACUUACGAGGUGCAUCUGGUGGCUGAUGGAAAAUUUGGAACGCAGGAGCGGGUAAACAACAGUAACAAGAAAGAGUGGAAUGGCAUGAUGGGAGAGCUCCUGGGCGGUCUGGCUGACAUGAUUGUAGCCCCGCUGACUAUAAACAACGAACGAGCGCAGUACAUCGAAUUCUCCAAACCCUUUAAAUAUCAAGGUCUCACAAUCCUCGUUAAAAAGGAAAUCCCUCGCAGUACAUUGGACUCGUUCAUGCAGCCGUUCCAAAGCACGCUGUGGCUGCUGGUGGGUCUUUCGGUGCAUGUGGUGGCGGUGAUGCUUUACCUACUAGACCGGUUCAGCCCGUUUGGAAGAUUUAAAGUAAACAGUGAAGAAGAAGAAGAAGAUGCCCUCACCUUAUCAUCUGCUAUGUGGUUCUCCUGGGGAGUGUUGCUGAAUUCUGGAAUCGGUGAAGGUGCCCCGCGCAGCUUCUCAGCGAGAAUCCUGGGUAUGGUGUGGGCCGGAUUUGCCAUGAUCAUUGUGGCUUCUUAUACUGCCAACCUGGCUGCCUUCCUGGUGUUGGACCGGCCUGAGGAGCGCAUCACCGGCAUCAAUGACCCAAGACUGAGAAACCCAUCGGACAAGUUCAUCUACGCCACGGUGAAGCAGAGCUCCGUGGACAUCUACUUCCGGCGGCAGGUGGAGCUUAGCACCAUGUACCGCCACAUGGAGAAGCACAACUAUGAGAGUGCCGCCGAGGCUAUCCAGGCCGUGCGUGACAACAAGCUGCAUGCUUUCAUCUGGGACUCUGCGGUGCUGGAGUUUGAAGCCUCGCAGAAGUGCGACCUUGUGACCACGGGAGAGCUGUUUUUCCGUUCGGGCUUUGGCAUAGGCAUGCGCAAGGACAGCCCCUGGAAACAGAAUGUGUCCCUGGCCAUUCUCAGUUCUCAUGAGAACGGCUUCAUGGAAGACCUAGAUAAAACCUGGGUGAGAUACCAGGAGUGUGACUCAAGGAGCAAUGCCCCAGCCACACUCACCUUUGAAAAUAUGGCAGGGGUCUUCAUGUUGGUGGCAGGAGGAAUAGCGGCAGGGAUCUUCCUAAUCUUCAUUGAAAUCGCAUAUAAGCGCCAUAAAGACGCCCGCAGGAAGCAGAUGCAGCUGGCCUUUGCGGCCGUCAAUGUUUGGAGGAAGAACCUGCAGCCCUCUUCCUCUCUAGAGACUCAGGAUGACCCUCCCUCUAUUUAAACAAUAUAAAAUAAGGUAAUUUACUGGGGUGUUGGUGAUGGGAGGAGAGAAUGGGUGAGACCGAAACCAUGGUUAUCACCCCAACCAGAGGACAUGAAUAAUGUUUCUACAUAUAUUCAUUUUAGGAUAGGAAAAGUGGUAGAGCAGAGCCCGACCCCCAAAAGAAAGCCUCUUUUAGGUCCAUCAGUACCACCCUGGCCUCCAGCAUCAAGAGACGUAGGUCCUCCAAAGACACGCAGUACCCACCCACUGACAUCACGGGCCAGCUCAAUUUGUCUGACCCGUCUGUCAGUACUGUGGUGUAAAGAGAGGGAGACACCAACGUUCGCUCCCCGAGGAGAGAGGAAACGAGACGAGGAGAGGAGGAGGAAGUGGAGGGGAGAAGGAGAGGGAGGGAGAACCCAUCUCCUCGGUCCCUUCACCGCCGAAGCUUUCAUUUCACCGCCUGCAGACGGAGCUGUUGAGGAAACUGCUCGCUGAAGAAGUGUCUGAAAUCACUGGAAUUGCACCUUUAUUUUAAAGCCGGGAUUACCUGGCGUUAGAUGUUUGUAGGGUCCCAGAGCAUGCACAGAAGAACCCAUCUGACUCACAUAUACAAUCUUUUCCUUCUGUAUAUUAUACAACAAACUUAUUUAACCUUUUUUCUGUCUUUUACUCACAGAAAUAUACUUAAUGUUCAAUGUAUGUUAACUACUUUCAACUGACCAGCUGUAUAAGUUUAGCAAACCAGAUUUAGUUUAGUUAAGUUUAUGGAUAAACCAGUUUUGGUGCAAGUACUGUACUCAACAUAUCACUUCCAAUUAGGGCUUAGAUACCAUAGUAAGAUUAAGUUUUCAUAUACUGCAAUACGAGACAUAUUGUACAGUAAGCUUCAAUGGAUAUCAAUUAUUUUUUUAAUGGGACCUGUGUUUUUAUCUACACUUUAAGGUUUUUAAAAGAUGUUUCAUUGAGAAGCACUAAUAUUGGCACUAAUGAGUACAUGACUAAUCUUGUCUACCAGUGAAGAUGAUGGAAGCAUGUGUGUGCUUGUUUAUGAAUAGGAGCUAUAUGCCUCUAAAUGAUGAAAUUAAUUAAUUUGAAGGCUACUGUAUAUACCAGAUUCUGUAGACAAAUUGUAUCUUUUCCCCUUUCAUUUUCUACUAAUCUGCCAAAUGCAUGUUUUGUUUUGUUUUUCUAGCAGUUUCUUAAAGAAAAGCUGUUAAGCUUUACUACCAUGUAUAGCAAGAGUUAAGCAGGUGAAUAUAUGAAAUCACAGAUUGAUUUGCAAUUAAGCAAGGCUGGUGUUUGAGCCUCAUCUGGGAGCCAUUUUGCUUUUGGGGACGCCCUCUCUCCUCCUUCCUCCUGCCGCAGCAGUACUUUCUCAUUCUCCAAGGGGUUGCAUCAAAGGGCCAAGUUUUUCACCCAACCGUCACUCAGGCUUUCAUGCAAAACUCCCUCCCUGCGUAAAGCUGGAGCGCUUUUACAUGAACGAACCUAUGUGAAUUUAAAGCACGGCUUGGUUAGGUAGAACAACAGGCCGUUUCCCAUUAUCUGGAGCUGAGAAACCACUGCUGUUUGAUGAAAAAAAACAAAAAAAACUACCACAUCGUGUCUGGUCUCUGGCACUGCAUAGCACUUUAUGCUGAGGCGUCUCCAAAACCAUUAAAUAAAGAUAGUGAUAUACCAAGAAACUAGAACAGAAUCACUAGAACAUCAGUCAGACAUACUAACUUCUCCACUGUCACGUGUUAAUUUCACAUAUCGCUUUUUCAUUUUAUUUUCUUAC